rnacentral:rRNA from 1 species
GACGAACGCUGGAGGCGUGCUUAACACAUGCAAGUCGAACGAUGAAAUGGAGCUUGCUCCAUGGAUUAGUGGCGAACGGGUGAGUAACACGUGAAUAACCUGCCCUUAAUUUUGGAAUAACCCAGGGAAACCUGGGCUAAUACCGGAUAAGUAAACCUGUGGCAUCACAUGGUUUUGGAAAGUUUUUCGAUUAAGGAUGGAUUCGCGGCCUAUCAGCUUGUUGGUGAGGUAAUGGCUCACCAAGGCGACGACGUGUAGCCGGCCUGAGAGGGUGAACGGCCACACUGGGACUGAGACACGGCCCAGACUCCUACGGGAGGCAGCAGUGGGGAAUAUUGCGCAAUGGACGAAAGUCUGACGCAGCGACGCCUCGUGAGGGACGAAGGUCUUCGGAUUGUAAACCUCUUUCAGCAGGGACGAAGCGAAAGUGACGGUACCUGCAGAAAAAGCACCGGCUAACUACGUGCCAGCCGCCGCCGUAA